GAAAUGCGAUACGUAAUGUGAAUUGCAGAAUUCCGUGAAUCAUCGAAUCUUUGAACGCAUCUUGCGCCUUUUGGGACUUGUCUCGGAAGGCAUGCCUGUUUGAGUCUCGUAUCACCUCUCGGAUGCAGACGCUUGUUUGUGUCUGGUGCUUGGAUGGCUGCCAGCUUGGCAUCAUCUCAAAUGUAUGUCUAGUGUUUGCAGCCGUUGAUCUGUUUGUUCUCAGUCACACCUGAGUUAACAAAGAGGGGCUUUGCUCUGGCGAGUUGUGUCGGGUACUCACUUGCUGCGAAGGAGUAGGCUUUUUCUUUUCAGGAGGGAAGGAGACGGACGGCGGUGGCGAGCGAACAACAUCAGCUAGACCGAUUUUGAACUCACGUUCAUUUCCAUUGAGCUCAAAUCAGGCAGGAAGACCCGCUGAACUUAAGC
rnacentral:misc_RNA from 1 species